ensembl:lncRNA
UCAGUUAUUUGUAUACAUUGAUGAGAUUCCUCUGAGCCUGUCCAUGACUGGGAUAAAGCAGUGAAGAAGGGCUGAAGAAGGCCCAGCUGCCUAGUCAGCGACUGAGCUGACUUAUCUAUUCAGCAAAAACCUCCGAUGCUGUUUCUGCUACUUUCUAAUGAUUACAACAUUUUUUGAGGCAUGCUUUUUGUCAGCCAAAUGUGUAAAUGUUACAAUUAAUGUCAGUGUAGAUCUUGGAUUUUUGCUGAGGCUUGGACACUGUCCCAUGCAGAGCUUAUCUUGCCUGGGAGGUUUUCAAGAGAUGCUACAAAAAACACCCCCAAAAAGUCAGCGAAUAUUUACUUAGAUAUAUUGGAUCAUAGUCCAGUAUAUUCCUUUAUGCCUUGAGCUAUUUUUUCAAAAUCCAGACUGCACAGUUGUAUCUUAGGCUCGAGUACAGUCCUGAAAAGCAGCCUGUAUGUUGCUGAUAGGUUCUGAUGCGUAUUUUGUAUCUUCCCUGAAAUGAACCCCUAUCUCCCGUUUGCAGAGCUCAUGCAGGGGCUGAGAAAUACAGUUUGCUUCCACACUGACUGCUCUACCUCUCAGAAAACAUUUGGAGGGAGGAGUAUACGUUGCUCACAGGAGCUGUGCUCUCCAGGGUGGGCUGUACCAGCACGCUGCCUGCUUCUCACCUCCCCCACACAGAAGUCAGUUGGAAAAUUUGGGAUUCUGGUGUUCAUGCAGAGUUACGCAAGUCACAGUCAAGCUGUUUAAAUCUCCGUAUGCAGCCCCAGAGGAACAUGACAGUGUUUGGUGCUGAUAAGAUAUGAGUCUGCACUUCUGAGUGCUUGCUCACGAGCAUUCCUACCGUGUCAGAGCAAGUUCUUGCUGAAGAAAAUGCGAAUACCUUACACUCUAUGACAAUGUUGCAAAUCAGAAAUAGUUGCAGUUACCUCACGCUAGUUCCCUCUGAGGCAGAACAAAUCCUAAGGUUCCAGCUGAAUGCUUAUGAAUCACUACCUUGGGGAAAAAAAAAUGAUACCACCUGUCAAAUUUCAUCUAAACUCUCAGAAAAUGGGGAAAAUGUGCUGAAUGAGGCAGUUAGUGAUGGUGUUGUACAGGGAUUAUUACUACAUGACACUGUGAGUUAUGAUAUACUUACUGCGCGUUCCUUUCUAGCAGAGAAACAGAGCAGAAACUGCACAGCUGAUGGAGUGUGAGGAGAAGAAAUCUGAACAUCAUUGUCUAAGUAAGUAAAACAUGUAAUUUUUUUCAGGCAAAGUAGAAAUGAACACAACGCAUAUAUUUUCUAUGAACUUAAAAAGUACGUGCAGAAGUUGCAUGUAGAUAUGCAGGGGUUAAAUAGGGAGAAAUGAACGAAUGGUCCAGGGAUGUUUUUAAAAAUGCUUCUGGAACAAAGUAAUAAAUGGAAGAGCAGCAUUCAGGAUGGCAGAAGUAGUGCCACUCCAGGUAAGAACAUAGGCUUUGGGACUGGAGUUUAUAGUACAGGAGACUGUUUAUGCAAGACUACCCAGCUCUGGGGCUGUGUGCUAAAUACUGUGAAGAAAGAGAUGGAAUAUAGUAUACACAGAGUCCCUCCUCUGGUAAGACAUUUAACACGUCAUCAGGCAGAUGAGUUGUCCGACUGAAGUCUGGAUGAGCAAGCCUUUAAAAAUCUAUUGGACAUUUACACUGCUAAAUUACAUAUCAAGAAAUAUGAUUCUAUUAAAUAUAAUCCCAUGAAAUACCAGGGAUUUUUGUUCUCCACCAUUUUCAUUCGUGUUAGUUUAGUACUGCUUGGUGGGACAAAUGCUCAGUAAUAAUAACAACCCAUUUUCCUGUCUUUGAGUAACUACUUUUUUUUUUCCCCUGCAGAUCUUUAUAUAAGGCUUCUAAACCUAACUGUCAAAGUUCAUUCAGCUGAGCUAAAAUACAAAACAAGGUAUAAAUAAAACACAGUUUAUGGUUGCAGCCAUUUUUUCUUACCACUUUGCCUGGGAGAGGUCAUGUGUCAUAACUGUGUUUAUUGGUGUUAGUGGCUGUCUUUCUACCAACAAGAAAUGUGCAACUGCCUUUAUGUUGCUGGCAGUUGUAUUGGUAAGGGCACGAUGAGUAAGCUUCACAUGUUUCUAUUAAUACAAAGUUGCUUGUCACUGAUAGCAGUGCUUGCUGUUGCAUAAAGCAAGAAAUACUGUCAGAUAACCACUUCUAAAUUGCUAGAAGCUUCUCAAAUGAACGCUGUGCCAUAAGCUUUGUUCUAAAAGUUCUCCCUUGUACAGUGUCACAGAAGCCUUGUUUCUGUCCGGACGUGAGCAGCCUGCUUGUUUUUUCGUUAUUUGCCAAUUGCAGUGGAAAUGAUGCAGCACAAAAAAACUGCUGACUGAAGAGUCUGUUGUAUUUUCUAGGUACUUAGUGGCUUUGAAAUAAAACUAGAGAUUAUCGCAAGUGCUGCAGUUGUUCAAAUUCAGCUCCUGCCAAGUUUUCACACCACCGAUGCUUCUAAGAACAGAGAAACCUACCUUAGAAGCUUCUUCCCAAUUUGUAUCUUGCUAUUUUCAGUAUUAAAUUUAGAACAGUGUCUAAAUGAAACGUCUCAUCUUGUUUGUGGUGGCAUUCUUUUAAUGACAUUGUACCUCAUACACUUGACAUAAAGACUCAUACUGAGUGCUGCAGCUCCGUGGCAAGCAAAGCACCAUCCUGUAAAUGAAAGGAUCGCAUUCUCUUUGCAGGUUUUGUUCCUUCUGGCAAGCUAGAAGAUGUAAAAUAUGAACUGGAGAAAAAGGAGAGGAAGGAAGCAUCACACAUCAUCUAGCUAACGUAUUUUAAACACACUGUUCUUUUGGAAUGGUUUUGGUAGAGUCAUGAAUAACAAAACUGUGCCAUCAUCAGUUUCCAGGAAAUCCUCUUUCCAAUAGUUCUCAAGACAUCAGCCUUUUUGUGCUGCUCAAACAGCUUCUCUCCUGAACAAAUCACAAGGAUUUUAUUUUAAUCCAUGCAUAUUGUUUUAAGUGUAUAACUGAUGGGUUAUUAAAACAGGCAAUAGACCAUUAGCUGUGUGAAAAUUAGCGUGGAUUAAACCAAGCUUGUUCAGGUUCCGUCAGGGGUUCAAACAGCAAUGCAAGACACGUGGCCAAAUGCGCUAACUAACUGCUAGAGCCAAGAUGUAUUUGAUUUAUUGGCUUGAUAACCAUAGCUGACUUUGAGAUUGUCUAGGUCCUCUGAGUUUGAAGGGGUUCAAGUGAGGAGACUCUGUUUGAGUCUGUUUGUAUUUUAAAGGCAGAACGUGGCACUGAGGGUCAUGGUUAGCGGGCAUGGUGUUGGUGUGUUGAUGGUUGGACCAGAUGAUCUUAGUGGUGCUUUCUAACCUUAAUGAUUUAAUGAUUGUAUAGCUGAGCAAGUAUUAUAGGAUGCAUAUAUUAAAAAUGAAACUUCAACCAACGGGAAAAGAUAGCGUUUAGGUAGAUAAUGCCCGGGGAAAUCCCUGUAGUGAAAGCAUAGAAUUUAACCAUUGAUAAACCACCAGAGUACAAUUAGUUAACUGAAAAUCCGUCUGGAAAACAAAUCAGAAGUGCUAAGAAAAACUGUCUUGCUGCCUGCUGAAUUUAAUCAUCUUGCUUAUAGAAACUGUUACAGCAUUCGGUGUUAUAGGACUCCAUUUUUAAUGUACUUACAAUAUGUAAGAUACACUUAGGUAACUACAGCAUGUGUUUGUUCUACAGUUUUACUGGUGCAAGGCAAACAACUGUUGUUAAAGUGAGACUUUCGUGUUAUCAGAUAAAAGCAUGAAACGAGCUUCUAGGAAAAUGGGUUCCAGGUAGGAAAGGUGCCUCUGACUAUCACGCCAAAGCAGGCAUGCUAGUGAUAAAGAAAUAAGCUCCCACCUGGGAGAAAAGUUGCUGCUCCUCCUUCAGAGCAGUAAAGUACAAAAGGGACUCAGAAGAGCUAUGAGGAAAAAGAAAACAACUAUUUGUUAAGAGAAGCAUGUUAAUUUGGAAAGCAGAAUUAUUCAUAAAACAACCGGUACCUCAUAACACUAAUAACACAACUAGCACAUACAUAUACAUGAAUACUAGUAUAUAUACAACUUGUAUAUUCAUAAAACAACUAUGCUUGUACAAUUAGGGAAAAGCUGCCCAUCAAGAAAGGUAACUGCCUGUUAAUGAAUUGAGGCAGCUACUAUGUCACUACCAAUAAAUUCCAUUUUUUUUCUAGCAAUUUUGGUGUGGGCAUCAAAUUAACUUUUCUACAGAGGAGAAGCUCUUAUACAAAAGCCAUCUGACAGCAGGUUGGGGCAGUUCUAAUAAAAAAAAAUGCAAUGAAAUGGUUGUUGACUGAAGGGAAUGAGGAACGGGUUUCUAGCAGAGUAAACAGGUAAUGGAGAAGUUCAACCACAAGACUGCUUGUAAACCAGCACUGCCAUUUCACAUUUCUACUGUAUCCAAAUGGAUUGCUUCUUCAUACAACUGAUGCAUGGAUGAUUAUCCAUACAAUGUAGGCAGAUUUUUCUGAAAUAAUUAUACAGAAAGCUGAAGUUGGAGCUGAAUUCACAGAAUUACCACAGGAACAGAGAGGAGACUGCAGGCCUGCCCCAGGCCAUCGGGCCCGCAGGGCUACACUGAGGCGGUAGACAGCACUGCCUGCAUUUCUGCCCAUGAGGUUCCACAUGGAAAAAGUCCAUGGAGGGUGUUGCACGGAAGCCCCAGGAGACCUAUGUAAACUGUCACAAAGUUUACACACAGUUACUGCCAUCUCAUAUCUCCUACUGCUGAGUGCUCUAUUGGAGCUGCAGGAGCAUUUGGUCUGCAGAUCUUGAAGCCUUUUUGGCUGCUUCUUUGCCACCUAAUGGUGCCUGUAGAGCCCUGGAUGCCAGAACUCGUUCAGCUCAGCAGUUUAUGUUAGCUGCUGUCCAAUGCUUUGCUGAAAACUGCACCCCCAUUCCUACACUCAGAAAAUAUGGAACCCGGCAACAGAACAAGGGGAAAUGGGCACAAAUAUUGCAAGUUCUAUCUGAACAUGAGGAAAAGCUUCUGGACUGAGGGUGACAAAGCACUGCAACAGGCUGCCCAGAGGGGCUGUGAAGUCUCCUUCUCUGAAGAUACUCAAGACCCAUCUGGAUACUUUCCUGUGUGACCUGCUGUAGGGAACUGCUUUAGCAGGGGUUGGACUCGAUGGUCUCCAGAGAUCCCUUCCAACCCCUGUGAUUCUGUGAUUCUCAUUCUCCUCGGCCUGCUGAUAAUUAUAGAAUCAGAGAAUAUCCCAAGCUGGAAGGGACUCGCGAGGAUCACCAAAGUCCAAUUCUGGCUCCAUUCAUGAUCACCCAAAAUCAAACCCAGUGUCUGACAGCAUUGCCCAAAUUCUAUUUCAGCUCUGGCACUCGGGGCCGUGCCCACAGCCCUGGGCAGCCUGUUCCAUGCCCACCACCCUCCGGUGCAGACCCUGUCCCCAACCCCCAGCUGCCCCUCCCCUGACACAGCUCCAUGCCGUUCCCUCGGGCCCUGUCGCUGUCACACAGAGCAGAGCUCAGCGCUGCCCCUCCGCUCCCUUUGAGGAGCUGCAGCCACCAUCAGGCCUCCCCUCAGCUCCUCUGCUCUGCGCUGAGCACACUGAGGGGCCUCAGCUGCUCCUUGUGUGUCUUGUCCUCCAGACCCUUCACCAGGAGGUAUUUCACAAGGAGAUGUCAUUUUGUAUGUGAGCAGCAGACUUCUUUUCUGAUCAAACAUGCAAAGGACUGAGCUCCCCAAAUAUGCUAAAUACAGAAUUAAAGAAUAUUCUGACUUGGAAGGAACCUGUAAGGAUCAUCGAGUGUAACUCCUGGCUCCACACAGGACCACCAAAAAAUUACAUUUAACACUGUAUUGCUAUGAACAUGUCCGAGCACACCUGCCUUCUGUGAAUAUUACAACUUGCUUACUAUUUUGAAAGGAUGACUUUGCUGCUGGCUGCUGUUAGCAGCUCUCAGGGGCUGACACGCUCCAACCAGCCCCACACAGCAGGGCAGCUGACAGGCACACGCCAGAGGAAGAGCUGGGAGCUCACUGUGGGGACCGGGCUGUGGAGGAGGGCUGUGCGCUGGCAGGGAAGUCACAAGGCAGAAGUGGGAGGUUUUCCCUCACAGAACAUCACGUCGCUCUCCCUUCACAUGGGUCACUGGGUGUCUAGUUAAUACAACUAACAUCCUGCACUUUUGUGGUGGUAGCGGUAAAAGCCGACUAGUGGGGAUGCAUUUAUUUUAGCGCCAAAGAGCUCUGCCCUCAGAGUAGUUUUUACUAUAUAUAGUCCGUAAUCAAGGCUGUAAUUUAAAUAUUUUUAAUGCAAAUACAGUCAUUAGCAUAGAUACAUCUGCACUAGCAGAAUAGAGCCACAUACCGAUGCUGGUUAUUCUUCCUUAUUAUAAAUAGUACAAGAAAGACACACAGCUCUUGCAACAAGUCCAGAGGAGGGCCACUAAGAUGAUCAGAGGGCUGGAGCACCUCUCCUGUGAAGAAACGUUGAGGGAACUGGGCUUGUUGAGCUUGGAGAAGAGAAGGCUCUGGGGAGAUCUCAUUGUGGUCUUCCAGUACUUGAAGGAAGCGUAUAAACAGGAGAGGGGACGGCUGUUUACAAGGGUGGAUAGUGACAGGACAAGGGGGAAUGGUUUUAAACUGAGACAGGGGAGGUUUAGGUUGGAUAUUAGGAGGAAGUUUUUCACACACAGGGUGGUGACGCACUGGAACAGGUUGCCCAAGGAGG